UCUGGGCAAGGUGGUGUGUGCCUGUAGUCCCAGCUACUUAGGAGGCUGAGGUGGGAGAAUAGCUUGAACCUGGGAGUUUAGGGCUUUAGUGUACUAUGCUGAUUGUGUAUCUGCACUAGACAUCAAUAAGGUGACCUCCUAGGAGCAGGGACCACCAGGUUUCCUAAAGAGCAGGGAACCAGCCUAGUUGGAAACAGAGCAGGUGAAAACUCCUGUGCUGAUCAGUAGUAGGGCUGUGCUUAUGAAUAGCCACUGCACUCCAUCAUAGGCAACAUAGCAAGACCCCCAUCUCU
rnacentral:SRP_RNA from 1 species